CACCGCAAGGACUGGAGAAGGGCCAUGAGAGAAGCAGUACCUUAUAAUGGUUCCUUGUUCAAAGCACUCAAUAUUCCUAGGAUGUGGUCUCCCAGCUGACUUCAUAACUGAAUCAUCAGUAAUUAAUUUCAUUGUUCUAUUAGGACUUUACUGAAGACUCUAAGGAGGACCUGUAUCUGUUGGGAUCCUCAGGGCAAGCCACAGAAACAAGCUUUGGAUACUAGAAGCAGAAAAUGGAGAUAUUGAAGACUAUUGUGGAGUUUACUGUGAGCCAGAGAACCAGGCUGGGGGGCUGUAUCACUUAGAAUGAGAUCCAAACUCACACCAUAGUUCCAUCCUUGAGGUUGCCAUGUUGCUGCCACCCCUCCUGCCACCCCACCACUGAAGCUUUGGAUGCUGGAUUCUGGGCACAGCAGGGAGAAGUGUUGCUUAUUACCAUUUUAACACAGGUUCUUGCUCUGUUGCCCAGGCUGGAGUGCAGUGGUGUGAUCACGGCUCACUAUAGCCUCAUCCUGCUGCACUGAAGUGAUCCUCUUGCCUCAGCCUCCUGAGUAGCUAGGACUACAGGCACGUGCCACCAUACCCAGCUAUUUUUUUAAAAAUACAUUUUUGUUGAGGCUGGGUCCCCUUUGUUGUCCAGGCUGGUCUUAAGCUCCUGGCCUCAAGCAAUCCUUCCA
rnacentral:lncRNA from 1 species